rnacentral:rRNA from 16 species
AGACUCAGUGAAAUUGAAUUCGCUGUUAAGAUGCAGUGUACCCGCGGCUAGACGGAAAGACCCCGUGAACCUUUACUAUAGCUUCACACUGGACUUUGACUUUAUUUGUGUAGGAUAGCUGGGAGGCUAUGAAGCGGUGGCGCUAGCUAUCGUGGAGCCAACCUUGAAAUACCAGCCUGGUAAAGUUGAGGUUCUAACCUAGGUCCAUUAUCUGGAUCGGGGACAGUGUGUGGUGGGUAGUUUGACUGGGGCGGUCUCCUCCCAAAGAGUAACGGAGGAGCACGAAGGUGGGCUAAUCACGGUCGGAAAUCGUGAGGUUAGUGUAAAGGCACAAGCCCGCUUGACUGCGAGUCUGACAAGACGAGCAGGUACGAAAGUAGGUCUUAGUGAUCCGGUGGUUCUGUAUGGAAGGGCCAUCGCUCAACGGAUAAAAGGUACUCCGGGGAUAACAGGCUGAUACCGCCCAAGAGUUCAUAUCGACGGCGGUGUUUGGC